rnacentral:rRNA from 1 species
ACAUACGACCAUAGGUCAGUGAAAACUGGGCAUCCCGUCCGCUCUGCCAUACAUAAGCACUGAACCGGGCGACUAGUACUAGAGUGGGUGACCAUCUGGGAAUCCCGCCUGUUGUAUGUUUUU